GUUGAGCAGGUGUUUCCUGCGUGCUCGCCAGGUGGUUUAGGCGUGUCCUGAAGGUGAUUCUGGAGUGUCCGCCAAGUGGUUCCGGUGUAACAGGCAGGUGAUUUUGGCAUGUUCGGCAGUUGGUUCCAGCAAGUCGAGCAGGUGGUUAUGGUGUGCUUGGUAGGGUAUUCAGGCGCGUCCGGCAGAUCAUUCCGGUAUGUCUGGGAGGUGGUUCUGGUGAGUCGAGCAGGUGGUUUCGGUGAGCUCAGCAGGUGCUUCCGGCGUUCCCAGCAUGUGGUUCUGGCAUGUCUGAGAGGUGGUUCCGGCAUGCCCGGCUGGUGAUUCCGAACUGUCUGCCAAGUGCUUCUGGCAUAGCCAGCUGUUGAUUGUGGUGUGACCAGGAGGUCGUUCCAGCGAGUCGAGCAGGUGGUUCUGGCGUGCUUGGCAGUUGGUUCAGGUGUGUCCGGCAGGUGGUUCUGGUCUGUUCAGGAGGCGUUACCGUCAUGUCCGGCAUGUGGCUGUGUCACGUCUGAGAGAUGGUUCCGGCAUGCUCGGCAGGUGAUUCCAGAGUUUCUGCAAAGUGGUUCUGGCGUAACCGGCAGGUGAUUUUGGCAUGUCCGGCAGGUGGUUCUGGGGAGUGGAUCAGGUGGUUCAGGAAUGCUCAGCAGGUUGUCCAGGCGUUUCGGGCAGGUAGUUCCAGUCUGUCCAGUAGGUGCUUUUGCUGUGUCCCGCACAUGAUUCUGGCACUUCUGAGAGGUGGCUCCAGCAUGCCCAGCAGGUGAUCCCGGACUGUCCCCCAUGUGGUUCUGGCGUACCCGGCAUGUGAUUUUGGCGUGUCCAGAACGUGGUUCUGGUGAGUCGAGCAGGUGGUUCUGGCGUGCUGGGCUGGUGGUUCAGGCAUGUCAGGCAGGUUAUUCCUGUCUGUCCGGCAGGUGGUUCUGGCGUGCUCGGCAGGUGCUUCCGGCGUCUCCGGCACGUGCCUCUGGCACGUCUGAGAGGUGGUUCCAGCAUGCCCGGCUGGUGAUUCCACAGUGUCCGGCAAGUGGUUCUGGUAAAGCCGGCAGGUGAUUUUGGCAUAUCUGGCAGGAGGUUCCGGUGAGUCGAGCAGAUGAGUCCAGCGUGCUCAGCAGGUGGUUCCGGCGUGUACGGCACAUGGUUCUGGCACGUCUGAGAGGUGGUUCUGGGAUGCUCGGCAGGUGAUUCUGGAGUGUCCGCCAAGUGGUUCUGGCGUAGCCGGCCGCUGGUUCAUGCGUGUCUGACAGGUGGUUCCGGUCUGUCCAGGAGGUGGUUCUGGCAUGUCCAGCAUGUGGUUCUGGCAUGUGUGAGACAUGGUUCCAGCAUGCCCAGAAGGUGAUCCGGAGUGUCGGCCAAGUGGUUCUGGCAUAGCUGGCGGGUGAUUUUGGCAUAUCCGGCAUGUGGUUCCAGCGAGUGCAACAGGUGGUUCCGGCGUGCUCGGCAGCUGGUUCCAGCGUGUCCGGAAUGUGGUUUUGGCACGUCUGAGAGGUGGUUCUGGCAUGCCUGGCAUGUCUUUCCACACUGUCCGCCACGUGGUUCUGGCAUAGCCGGCAGGCGAUUUUGAUGUGUCUGGCAGGUGGUUCCAGCGAGUUGAGCAGGUGGUUCCUGCGUGCCAGCAGGUGGUUCAGGUGGGUCCGGAAGGUGGUUUCCGUCUGUCCGGGAUUUGGUUUUGGCGUCUCAGGCACAUGGUUCUGGCACGUCUGAGAGGUGGUUCCGGCAUGCCCGGCCUGUGAUCGUGGAGAGUCCGACAUGUGGUUCUGGCGUAGCCGGCUGGUGAUUUUGGCGUGUCCAGUAGGUCGUUCUGGCGAGUCUAGCAGGUGGUUCAGGCAUGCUCGGCAGGUGGUUCCAUGGUGUCCGGCAAGUGGUUUUGGUCUGUCUGGAAGGUGGUUCUGGCAUGUCCGGCACGUGGUUCUGGCAC
rnacentral:lncRNA from 1 species